rnacentral:lncRNA from 1 species
CAUUAACGUAACAUGUGUUAUGCACUGGACACUGUAUAGCGUUGUGGCAAACAAGGUUCUCCACUCAUAGAGAUGCUCAGUACAUGUUGACUAAGUGAAUGUGUGGCUAGAUAGAGUGGUCUUUGCCUUCAGAAAGACUGAAGGGGCAGGCAGAGCUUCAUUGGCUGGGGCCUAGUGGAUUAAGGGUGCUGUAACCUCCCUGGAAGUUGGGAACAGAAUUUGGAGCAUCCUGUUGGAGCCAUGAUGCCCUAGCACUUGGAUCUAUAAGAGGAAGCAAAGGAGAAAGGCUGUGUUGAGGAUGGUUUAUUUUGCAUUUAGUUUUUUCUGGUAUUUUGGCUUCAUGAGUCCCCUCUUUUCAUUGUAGACAGGGACUGUUACGUAUGUUCCUUGCAAGUGCAGAUGCUUCAUAAAUGUCAAGUGAUCACCCAAGACAGCUGAGGGAGGAGAUAGAAAAGUAGUAGCUAAGACAAGUUGGCUGAGGCUAGGGCAGAGGCAGAGAUGUUUGUGAAUUAGAUGCCCAGGAAAAGAAAUGAAGAGGGGAAGAAAGCAGAAGCCAGGAAAGGAUUUGAAUUAGUCUGGAACUGAAUGGGAGCCCAGUUUAGAGAAGUCUGAUCUG